UGGGGAAUAUUGCACAAUGGGCGCAAGCCUGAUGCAGCGACGCCGCGUGCGGGAUGGAGGCCUUCGGGUUGUAAACCGCUUUUGUUCAAGGGCAAGGCAGGCUUUCGGGCCUGUUGAGUGGAUUGUUCGAAUAAGCACCGGCUAACUACGUGCCA
rnacentral:rRNA from 1 species